CUUGAUAAACCAUAAGAGGUCCAGCCUGCCCAGUGACUCUGUUCAACGGCCGCGGUAUCCUAACCGUGCGAAGGUAGCGUAAUCACUUGUUCUUUAAAUGAGGACUAGUAUGAAUGGCACCACGAGGGUUACACUGUCUCCUUCCUCUAAUCAGUGAAACUAAUCUCCCCGUGAAGAAGCGGGGAUGAAAUUAUAAGACGAGAAGACCCUAUGGAGCUUUAAACACAGUAACAAUUGCCCUGACCUUACUUACCAGCCCCCGGGCACAAUUAUUCACUCAGGCACCUUGAUUACAAGUUUUAGGUUGGGGUGACCGCGGAGCAAAAAAUAACCUCCACAGUGAAAGGGGUCUCACCCCCUAAACCCCGGGCCACAGCCCCAAGAAUCAAAAAAUUGACACCCGUUGACCCAUUAUCUAUGACCAACGAAC
rnacentral:rRNA from 1 species